UGAACCCACCUUGGUGAAGAAUAAUCUUCCUUCAACCGAAAGACGCAUACAGAAAACUCACUAGAUUCAAAUCCAGUCAAAUUCAUGUAACCGCAUGCAGGCGCAAGAACGUAUCCAUAAUGACAAGGUUGCGGCGGCAACGGAGGUAUGUCAUCCUUCAUGCACUCUUCCUUCAGAUCAAAACGCAGUGUCGUUUUGCUUCCGAUCCAAUAAAUUGAGUCCUUGAAAUAGGUCGCCCUAUGGAAAUCAACGGAGAAGGUAGGCGGGAAGGAACACCCGCGCUUCCACACACCGGAUUUCGAAGAGUAAAUCAUGGUUUCGAAGCAUUCAUUCUUUGAAUUCACACCAUCAAAAAU
rnacentral:lncRNA from 1 species